GACGAACGCUGGCGGCGUGCUUAACACAUGCAAGUCGAACGAAGUGGCGAACGGGUGAGUAACGCGUAAUCAACCUGCCCUUCAGAGGGGGACAACAGUUGGAAACGACUGCUAAUACCGCAUACUGAAGGUGGGGAUUGCGUCUGAUUCGCUAGUUGGAGGGGUAACGACCCACCAAGGCGAUGAUCGGUAGCCGGUCUGGGGGGGUGGACGGCCAAAAUGGGACUGGGAAACGGCCCAGACUCCUACGGGAGGGAGCAGUGGGGAAUCUUCCGAAAUGGAGGAAAGUCUGACGGAGCAACGCCGCGUGAGUGAUGACGGCCUUCGGGUUGUAAAGCUCUGUUAAGCGGGACGCGGUACCGGAAUAGAAAGCCACGGCUAACUACGUGCCAGCCGCCGCGGUAAUUC
rnacentral:rRNA from 1 species